UGUGUGAGGCUUUGUGGCAGACAACUUUUUAAAUGGCUCUCAAUAAUCCAAUUUUAGCAAUCUAACUUUAGGAAGUUAGCAAUAAUUCAACUUUCAGGUAUCCAUUCCUUUAUGUUGUCCCUUAGCGUGUGAGCUAAUAACUUACUUCUAAAAAGCAGAGUAGGGCUGGAGGAAUGGGAUGCCCAUUCUGUGAUUAGGUUACAAAAGACCGUGACUUGGGACUUACUGGCAUAGCGUCUCUACUGCCAUCUAGGCUUUGAAGAAACGACUUGCUAUGUGGGUGAGGCCAAGAAAUAAGAAACUAGGGCAGGCAUUCAAGGAGCUGAAUAUUGCCAUCAACUACUGCGUGAUCUCAGGAUGCUGCCUCAGGGAGCACCACCUUUCCUCAGCCUUUGGGCUACAGCUGGGUCUCCUACACCUGUCAGUGCUCGUGGAAACAGUCACCACCUAGUGAGACUGUCACUGGAGCUGAAGACACCGGGGAAGCUUUGGUGAGGAUUGAGAUUUGCUCGAAAGAUGGCACCAGACGGAGCCGGUAGCAAGGGAGCCUACAGGAGCCAGGAUACCCAGAUGUGUCUCAUCCCAGAAAACUCCCUCCGCCCCCACAGAACUACCGAGAUCCCGAGAUCCCACGAGAUCCCACGAGAUCCCGCGUUCUUCCGGAACAGCGUGUACUGAGGCGACUCCCGCCUGCUUCCGCCUUCGUCUUUGUGGAUCCUGACGCCAGCUCAUCGCAGCCCGUCGUCUUCCUGACUUGCUCUGUCCACCUGGGCUUACUUCACGCACACACGAAUCCUCCGACUGCGUACCCUGAGCUAACACCUUGAUUGCAGCCCUGUGAGAGAUCAUGAAGCAGGCGACUCAGAGAGGAGUGCUCUGAAGACUGGAAACGCUGAGAAUCCUUUCGGAGGCAAAAUUAAUGACAGAGAGACUGCUUCUUUCAGGUGUACAAUAUAGUGAUGCAACAAUUCCAUAUACUACUCAGUGCUAAUCAAGAACUCAGACCAGAGAAAAGUCUUCUCUGAAAGUAUGAAGUCUCAGUCCCCAUCCUAAAGGUCCAGACCUUCAUAAUAUGAUGCUGCUGUUGUUUGGAUAAAGAACAGAUUGCCACAAAGAGAGGUGCUUUUCUUCCCACUCGAGGUCUGACUCUGAAGAAUGGAAAGUCAGCUACAUCUCCUGCUCUUAAAAGUAAUGGCCUUUUGAAGAAGAGGUCCGGUAGUGCCCUACAGUGCAAUAUCCCCUAUUCACCAGGAGCUGGUGCUUCAGAUAUGUCUCCUUUGUGUGUUAUGUAUGCUCUGCUGUUGUGACUGAGAUGCUUUUGCUUUCAGUCCCAUUGACUGCAAUGGUUCUUUUUGCCUAUUUUGGGCAGAGUUUGGUCCCUGUGUUGUUAGUGGGCCAGUCUUAGGCCACCUUGAGCUUGAGUUUAGCCAGACCAGGCAUUUGCCAGGGAUGAGAUAACACCAAACUGGAGGGUGCUUCCCUUGUGUUGUCCCCUAAGAAGCUUUUGUUGGUUGAUAGGGCCUGCAGUCAAACCAAAUGUCUGCCCCCAGCCCACUGCUGGGACUGCAAUCAGAUUGGUGUGUGUGGUUAUCUUCCCCUUUCCCUAGGGCAGAAAUCACUUUGAAGUGGUGCUGGCUCCUGUCAGGCUGCUUACACAUUGCCAGGCUUGUGCCACCAUGCAAGACGGACUCUGGCCAAGGGCAUAUUGGAGGGGGGUGUGUCCACAGGAGAACACAUGGGCAGUGAACACAGGGCUCCCUGUUAGCAAGCCAGAUAGAGAGUGUUGGCACUGCACUGUUCCCACAGGUGUCUAUGCUUCUAGGCUGGGAGGCAGGGGAGGGAAAUGGCUCCAGACAGCUCUUUUGUUCUUAGAGAAGUCUCCCAA